UAUUUGUCAUGAUUUUUGUCUUUCAAGCAGCCACCUGAGGGCCAAACUGAUGCUCAGGGAGAUGGAGUAGCUUCGUCCAUCACAGAUAGUGGGACUCUGUGCUCAUGCCAGUAAGUAAAGAAGAAGGAAUAAGACAGACACUGUGUGAUCUAGUAUUAAUAAGGAAGUAAGUGAUCAAAUUACUCCAGCUAGAUCGGUAGAAUCUAUUAUCAAGCACGUUGAGGCCGAUAGCAUUCACAAAUCAAGUGUCUACGUUUAUACUCACUGAUGACUCGUGUUUCCUUUCGAGGACAAGUAAGCUUUUUAAAUCAUCAAGACGUUUACAUUAGUUUUGCUCUUCAAUGGCCUUUUUAAAAAAAAAAAUCCAAAGGCAGAAGUUAAAUUUAAAAGAGCUUUCCAUGUGACUACCCCAAAGAGAGAUUAUCAAUCACCAAGUUAAAUAUUUGUAUACAAAAUAAUAUCUGGAUGCGUAGAUUCUUACGUUCAUCAGAUGAAGAGUGAAAGAGUUAUUAGUCACCAUGCUUUAUUUACACCCCUGUCAAAAUUACAUGAAAAUAUUUCUCUCCAAAGAACCAUUCUAGAGAACCCUUUCAUACAAAGUGGUGUGUGUACAUCUAAGAGGUUGCUCAGUUUAGCUCAAAGGCUGAAGAGUCUAGUAAACUGAGUUCCACCACGUCGUGACUUUUAAGUGGUAGGUUACCACCAGAAAGAGACGACUUCAAGCACAGAUUUCUAGCAGCAAGGCCAGGAUUAAAAACCCAUGUGACAACCGGCUUCAGAGAGAGGAACAAUCCAUUCCUAAUUCAAAGGCCAUCAAGCCCGAGUUGUAAGAACAUUUUUGACUCUGAGAAUCUUCUCUUUUUACCAAGAAAAUCCCUUACAGUCAUGGUUUAACAUCCUAAAUUAAGGAACAGAAGAAACCAAAUUAAUUUUUAAUUUAUACUCCGCUUAUACAUGUUUUCAGUCAUCCACCACUGCAGGAUGUACACUGAACGGUACAAGUCAUGUGCAUCAUUUUCAUCAGACAACCUCAUCUACCAAAAUGGUGAUAACACAAUCUUAUUUUGAAGCCAAAAGAGAGUUAUAAACAUCAAUCGUUUUCAGAUAUGCUUUAAACAUGUUCAAAAGUAACAUCAUUAUUUUAAGUUAUAGCACAAUCAUUAAAGGAAAAAAGAACCCAAGAACAAA